AUGGAUGACGUUUGGAGGGGCAAGAACGGCAGGGACUGCAGGCUGCUCCAGCCGGCGGUCCUGGGGGUCCUGCUGGCGGUGAUCGUGGUGCUGGCAGUGACCCUGGGCUACUCUGGGACCAAAACCUGCGACGCCUGCGAAGAUGGCCUCCGGGCAGAGGCGAGGUGCCACAAUAUCACCGACCACCUGCAGGACCGGCUGACCCGGGCGCAGAAGACUUUGCAGGAUGCCCGUGCCCUCUGCGACAGCACCGUGGAAAAUCUGAAUGCUGCCCUGGCCGAGAUGAAAACGCAAGAAGAGCAGCAACGGAAGCAAGUGCAGGACCUCAAAAAUGAGAUCGAGGAUUUGAAGCAGAAGCUACAGAGGGCGGAGGAGGAGGCGCAGCUGCUGAGGGAUAAGAUGGCCUCCAGCCAAAGGGGUCCCCAAAACGCGGCCGGCCAGGGGCACAUCCCCCUCGGCCUGCUGCUCACGGCGCUUCUGGGCCUCGCCAUGCCGCGGCCCUGAGACCGCAGAGCCGGCUGGUGAGGAGGGAGGACCCGCGGGUCGGGGCGC
rnacentral:lncRNA from 1 species